GUGUAUUACCUGUACCUAAAGAUAAAACACUGUUAUUUUAAAAGUAGGCAGAACUCUAAAAUUCAUUAUCUUUACAUCUAUAUCCUAGUCAACAUAAAGUUUAUUAUAGCCCUAUUGAAAGCAAAGUUCAUAUAUAAUUACACGUAUGAUUGUUAAUAGGAACUGCUUUUCUUUUUUAAAAGAAAGAACUGAAGAUAUCUGGUGCCAGUAUUUAUAGCAGCAGACGACUAAACCUGAAUAUAUUAUACUAAGUUUAAUACAACUCUAGUCACUUCAAAAUCUAGGUUCUCUUAGUCUGUGCAUACUUAACAGGAACAAGAUCAAAUUAGUAUGUAGUUUAGGACUGAAUUACAGGUUUCGUUAUCUGUGUUAUAGAAACUGUUUCAAGAACAGGUUUUCAUCUUUCAAUAAUGAUUAUGGUUUAUUACUAAAUAUUCACUCACAGAGGAAUAUUCUCUUGGAGACAUUCUUUUUUUAUUUGGAUUGCUAAGGAGAAAUGCUGUUAAGGAACAAACUAGUCAAUUUCUGUUGUGUGAGGGCAAGGAGAGAAGAGCAGAGGAUCUGAUGGUUACUAUGUAAUCAGGAACACAUACCGUGACAUGUGUUUCUGUCACUCCACUCCACCAGGCAUAGCGGCAGACACCUUUAGUUUCAGUGGAUCUCUGUGAGCUCCAGGGUAGCCUGGCCGACACAGUGAGAUCAGGACAGCCAGAGCUACAUAGUGAGACCCAGGAAGAAAGAAAAAAAACAUGUUUCUGUCACUUCAUUCUGUUUGAAUAGGUCUUCUGUUAAUAUUUUUUAUCAUGAGAAUAGAAAGUUACAUAUAUUCUUCCCACAAACAAAAAGAAAACAGAAAACUGAACACUUAAAUCCCUAAUUGUAUAUUCUUGCAUUUUUUUAGGUAGAAACUGGAACUAUUAAUAUUUUUGUGUAUUUAAAUAAGUAGUUCUUAAAGAUGGUAUCUAAUAAGUUUAAAAAUUCAUUUGUCUUCUAAACUCAUGUGUAGUCACAGCGUGUCAGUAUUGGCCAAAGGUGCUUAGCAUCAGUAUUCGAAAACUAUGUUUACAUAUUUAAAUGUUUAAUUCUUUACAAAUGUACCAGAUCUUAAACACAAGUGUAUAAAAAUUUCAGUCUCUGUAUUUGGCAUUCACUUAACAACUCCACAGCAAACUUUGAUAGUACCCUUUGGUUCAUGUAUGACAAGAUGGAGUAGGAGCUGAGGGGGAGCUGGACAUUUAAAAUAAGCAGUUAGGAAUUCAUAAUCAUAGCCUGGAUUGUUUCUUUGUAGUUUUCUUGUUCAAAACCUCCAAGUAAACUUUGUAUAUACACCAGGAAAUUAUCGAUGAACCACCACAGGAGACUUUCCCCCCAGUAGUAAUUUUCUAUGUAAGCAGCCAAUGUACUUAAAAAGCUUUAACAUCUUAUGCAAAGUAAAUGUUUCCUAACCACCACAGAAGUGAUAGGAAACAUGAACUCUGGGUCCGGUAUUGAAGUUUUUAAUCUUAGCCCCAGCUUGUGCUUCAUCUUGUUUCUAUCCUGUCAAACUAUAUAUGUAAUCAUGUGGGUAUGAGACAGUGUUUACUUUAUACCGGGUUUGUAAAAAGAUUUCAAAAUGUGUAUGUAUAUAUUGUAACUUGAUGUACAGUGUUCUUAUUAUAAUGUAAUUUUUUAUUAAAAAUUCUGUUUUUUCUU
rnacentral:lncRNA from 1 species